AUGGCGGCUAACUGGGAACGACUUCCUGAUGACAGAGCUUGGGUUGAGGUAGAGUAUAUCAACAGCUACGCUGUGUUCAUGGGUUAUCUGUCCAUGGCCAUCAAGGGCCUGGGUUUCUUGGUGCUUACUUGGGCUACCGUUGUACUUCUUGGUGGCUUUGUCUCGAUGCUGCACAAGAAAGACUUUUGGUGUUUAACGUCCAUCACUCUUGUACAGACAGCUGGGAUAUUCGAUGUUAGUCUAAAUGAAAAACUAGGCUAUAUGGGUGAUGCAUUUGGCGGGUUAAUGAUGGCCAUUUUUUCAGGCGUGGCAGGCGAACUGACAAGCUGCGACUGGGGCCCUGUAUUGGCUUAUGUUUGUCUCAUUUUCGUGGCAUUUCUUUUACUGUUGGUUCAACUAGUGGUGUUGGCCAUAAUAUUGAGCCCUCUGGCAAUUAUUUAUGUGCUUGGGAUAUUCAUGUCCGGAGUGGUUUCAUUGUGGCGUCUGAUAGAGCACGAUUACGGGGGCAACUCAGAUGGAGAAGCAUCAAACCUGGCGCCGGCAAUGGAAACCUUGUACUACCUUGCUCUGCUCCAGGGUGUCAUCUUCUGCUAUAGGUUCGUAUUGGGUCGCAUGGGGAAGAGGUUGCCUAAGGCUAUGGGAACUAAAGACUCGGAAGUUCAAGUUGUCCUUCACAACUACUUGUGCGAAACAAGGAGAGGGUGUGAGAAGGACCUGACCUUUGCUGAAGGAAGGAACCUCAUCACAUAUGCUGUAGACAAGAUUGGAUCCAAUUCACCUGUUGAUUGCAUUUCUGGGGUAAAGAUCUUAUAUGCAGCCAUAUGCAUGGUGGAGAGCCAAUAUAGUCCGCAUGAUUUCACUGGGCAGCGCUUAUUAAUGAAACAUUUGGUCUUGUAUGCAUCAUCCUCUCGACAUGUACUACCGAUACUGCUAGAGACGUUGGAUUCAAGAGGCAUGCAUAAUACAGAGAGGAGAAACCAGGCCGCGAAGAUAGUGGAGCGACUUGCAUUCUGCAUUAAUUUGGAGCAGUUUCCUCGGGGUAUUCAACACAUAUCUUCCCUAAUUGGGACACCUGAACAAUACAGUAUAGCCGAGCCGUAUCCUAGUUCCAAGUAUGAAUAUGAGCAGAAUUUGAAACUACAACUUACUCGUUGGCGCCCUUCACCAGCCAAUGAAUUUGGGGGGGCCUACAAGGAGUUGUUGUUACAAGGCCUAUCUAUCCUCCGGAAUCUUGCCGCCGACGAAAUCAACUGCAGAAUCAUGAGCGAAACUCGAGAUCUGGUCUCUAAGAUCAUGGCGCCUAUCACUUGUGACCUACUCGACCACACCACCAAAGAUCAUGGGACAUGGUUCGAAGUAGUAGAUCGAUCAAUGGAAGUGAUGAGCCAAUUAACCGGUGCUCAAGGAGAAACUGGGGCCAAGCUAUGUCGUGAAAUAUCAAGCUGCACAAAAGCAAUCGACACUCUCUGGAGGAUUCUUAGUUGUAAAAAGUGUAAAGAAGUGUUGCGGCAAAGAGCCAUUUGGAUUCUCACACGAUUAUACAGGGAUACCGACGGAAUCAACAGAUCAGCUGGUUUUGAUCUUCUCAAAAAAGAAAAUAGUUACUCCAAAGAAGAUUUUGUUAGGAUGCUAGUGAACAUCUUCACUCACAGUAACGAGUAUACCAACUCCAUCAGAGGAUGUGCAGGAGAAGCAUUGUCGGAGAUAUGUUUCCGUGGUGGAAUUAGUGAUGCCACAGUUGUGAUACAAACAAGUGGUGAUGUUGUUGAUAUUCUCACUCAAGUACUUCUAAAUACUAAAAAGGAUGAGACAUGCAAACAAGCAGCAGCUGAGAUCCUUGAGCAUCUAUGUACUCAUUACACCAAGGAUGAUGAAUACCUUUGCAAACUCAAGAAAGCAGUCCUCGAGGUGAUUGGAAAAAUGUUUUGUUGCGGGGACAAAACACAUAAUGGCAAAGAUAUAGAAAGCCAAUGUGAUGGCACACAAGAAAACAAUGAGCAGGACAAAAAGGACGAAGGAUUCCAGGUGGAUGCACUCUCAAAUAUGUCAAUGAACUUGCUAUCGUCAUUGUUAUCCCUUUGUGGGACUGUCUACGACACGAAGUUGAUCACUGAUUUGGCUCCUUGGUUGGACACAUCUAGCUUUCUAAACAAGCUCAAGGACAUAGUACUGGAGAAAAGCGAGCCCGUCAUUGAAAACCUGUCGUUGUGCAAGGCUAUGACUAAGAUGGUUAUAUUAAUGUUGGAAUACUACAACAGUAGGUUCUUCAGACAAGAGGACUUCAGGAGCUUGAUAGAGACGCUCUCUAGUGCUUCUGAGAACAUGCUAAAUCUUGACUACUACACGAUUUGUUCUUCCGCAAGCAGCUCCAAAACCAUAUUGAAGCUUGACACGCGCACUCUCGCGUCACUCGUGAGAGAAGUUAAAGAACUGCAUGCCAUGGUACCAUCUACCUCUUUCAGUGGCUGA
rnacentral:rRNA from 1 species